rnacentral:rRNA from 1 species
GACGAAGGUGGCAAGCGUUGUUCGGAAUUACUGGGCGUAAAGGGCUCGUAGGCGGCCAACUAAGUCAGACGUGAAAUCCCCAGGCUCAACCUGGGAACUGCGUCUGAUACUGGAUGGCUUGAAUCCGGGAGAGGGAUGCAGGAUUCCAGGUGUAGCGGUGAAAUGCGUAGAUAUCUGGAGGAAUACCGGUGGCGAAGGCGGCAUCCUGGACCGGCAUUGACGCUGAGGAGCGAAAGCCAGGGGAGCAAACGGG